rnacentral:tRNA from 1 species
GGAGUGGUAGUUCAGCUGGUUAGAAUACCGGCCUGUCACGCCGGGGGUCGCGGGUUCGAG